CGCGAAGUUAGCCGGGGCUUCUUCUGUGGGUACCGUCAUUAUCGUCCCCACUGAAAGAGCUUUACAACCCUAGGGCCUUCAUCACUCACGCGGCAUGGCUGGAUCAGGCUUGCGCCCAUUGUCCAAUAUUCCCCACUGCUGCCUCCCGUAGGAGUUUGGGCCGUGUCUCAGUCCCAAUGUGGCUGAUCAUCCUCUUAGACCAGCUAUGGAUCGUCGCCUUGGUAGGCCUUUACCCCACCAACUAGCUAAUCCAACGCGGGCUCAUCCUUCCCCGAUAAAUCUUUCUCCCUCAGGACGUAUACGGUAUUAAUUCCAGUUUCCCGGAGCUAUCCCGUAGAGAAGGGUAGAUUCCCACGCGUUACUCACCCGUCUGCCACUCACCCCGAAAGGUGCGUUCGACUUGCAUGUGUUAAGCCUGCCGCCAGCGUUCGUUCUGAGCCAGGAUCAAACUCU
rnacentral:rRNA from 1 species